GGGACACGUGGUAUCCUGUCUGAAUAUGGGGGGACCAUCCUCCAAGGCUAAAUACUCCUGACUGACCGAUAGUGAACCAGUACCGUGAGGGAAAGGCGAAAAGAACCCCGGCGAGGGGAGUGAAAAAGAACCUGAAACCGUGUACGUACAAGCAGUGGGAGCACGCUUAGGCGUGUGACUGCGUACCUUUUGUAUAAUGGGUCAGCGACUUAUAUUCUGUAGCAAGGUUAACCGAAUAGGGGAGCCGAAGGGAAACCGAGUCUUAACUGGGCGUUAAGUUGCAGGGUAUAGACCCGAAACCCGGUGAUCUAGCCAUGGGCAGGUUGAAGGUUGGGUAACACUAACUGGAGGACCGAACCGACUAAUGUUGAAAAAUUAGCGGAUGACUUGUGGCUGGGGGUGAAAGGCCAAUCAAACCGGGAGAUAGCUGGUUCUCCCCGAAAGCUAUUUAGGUAGCGCCUCGUGAAUUCAUCUCCGGGGGUAGAGCACUGUUUCGGCAAGGGGGUCAUCCCGACUUACCAACCCGAUGCAAACUGCGAAUACCGGAGAAUGUUAUCACGGGAGACACACGGCGGGUGCUAACGUCCGUCGUGAAGAGGGAAACAACCCAGACCGCCAGCUAAGGUCCCAAAGUCAUGGUUAAGUGGGAAACGAUGUGGGAAGGCCCAGACAGCCAGGAUGUUGGCUUAGAAGCAGCCAUCAUUUAAAGAAAGCGUAAUAGCUCACUGGUCGAGUCGGCCUGCGCGGAAGAUGUAACGGGGCUAAACCAUGCACCGAAGCUGCGGCAGCGACACUAUGUGUUGUUGGGUAGGGGAGCGUUCUGUAAGCCUGUGAAGGUGUGCUGUGAGGCAUGCUGGAGGUAUCAGAAGUGCGAAUGCUGACAUAAGUAACGAUAAAGCGGGUGAAAAGC
rnacentral:rRNA from 1 species